GACCACCACAGUGGGAUACGAAGGCACUUUCACUCACAGCCAAUUGCAGUCACGCGUUCCAAGGCUCAAGUCCGGGUGUUUCACUUGCCUAAUCAUUGGUCCAUAGAAUCGUGUUGCCCUUGCACCUGCUAACCGCCACACUGCCUGCAGAGUCGCCGGCUUGCUGGUAGCUUUCUUUAUGUGGUUAGAACAAUGGCCAUACGUCUCGACGUCUGCAAAUUCUGCCGUCAUCAGUGACACAAAUUCAGUGCCAGGUUGAACAAAAAAUAUUAUGCAUGGUCAUCACCGGCGUACCACGCACAUAAUUAUACUAACUAAUAAUACGGAUAAAUAAUUAUUCUCUGGAUGAGAGGUUUGCUGAAUAAUCAUAGAUACCACGGAGUCAAGCUGUACGAGCGCCACUAUAGCCUUAUCAUGCUUGAUCCAAUGUUUAUCUGAGGCAUCAUGUAUCCGUAGCAAGUAGCAACAUUGAGUGCUCGCACAGGAGCCAAGUUGACAUUCCUGAGGCGACAGAUGAUACCAAACGAAAUUUCUUCAGCAACUUCCUGUUUGCGACUUAUUCGAGUCGUGCUCUGUUUUUGGGGAUUCGGAAGAUGCAUUAGUGCAUGGGUCCUAUGUUCAUUUUUUUUUACCAUAACUGAUGUUAGUACUUUUUUUUCGUAAUAAUGCAUUUCAAUAUACUUCCCUACUGGUAACAGAAUGUGGGCACAUGCAUGGCCACGUGUGUGGCAGAAGAGUUGUCCAACAUUAUUGGAACACUCAGUCGAAUGAAUCGAAAUUGGGAAAUUAAGUGACCAAACUGUCAAGUGGGCGCAGUUUCGUUCUUUUUCUUUUUUUAAAACACAAUACGGAUACGGGUACUUGUAUAUACACAUACCUAUAUGAAUGUACAUACGCACACCUACCACUGAAAUGGCACUUAUGAGUUGAGAAAUUUUAGGAUUGAUAAAGUGAUCCGUACAAAUGAGCACGUCACUUACUACUGAAAAAUAUUACUCAAGCAGUAAGCAAACAGGGUUCUCUGAAAACACAUCAAGCUUCUGUGCUCCAUACAAUCAAAAAAUUGUUUGAUGUGAGAAUUCAAAUUGCCUAACUUUACUAGUCGGCAAAUGACCCAUGUCCAAUUCUUGACAUUUUUUUAUUUAAAUGUAUGGGAAAAUUUCUACAGCACCAGGUUCAAUAGACAAAUAUAUACCAUCGACACAAUUACAUAAACCGUUCAGGUGGUUAGGUGCAGACUAACAGUAUGGCUAGAUCUUGCGUUUUGUGUAGUGAAAUAAAAUCAGCUGGGCGGAUGGGCCUCGUAUGUUUUUAGAAUGCAGUUAAUAGAUGGUCUUUUGUGAAGUUUUGAGAAUGCAUUCAUAUCGUAAAAUUUAAAUAAAAAUGUUAUAAUAAUGUUGAACUGGCUGCCUUUUGGUAGGUUCGAGAAACAAGAAAAUGGAAUAAUAUCUCCUAGAAGAGCAAUUAAUAACAUGCUAUGAUGGCUAAAGAUACUUGGAGCGGCAUGCUGGAUUAACAUAAGCAUGUAACAUAAAUUAUACAUUACGUUCCUUGUGAGGAUAUAGCAGAUUGGAGUAAAUUUUUUUUACCAGAGACAUUAUAAAUACCAAAUGAAAUUGAAAUAUUGAAAGGCAACUUAUAAUUGAGUGUAACACCCGCCUUUUUUUAUAGUGGCCUUUUGGGUAAUCAAGUGGAUUUCUAAAGAUACAGUUCGCACAAAGUCCAUAGGAUUUCUGAGAAUUUUUGUCUUGCUACUAUAAUACAACCUGAAGUGUUAACUUACUUAUCAUUGAGGACAUUGUAUCGUGGUCUCUCAUACCUAAUUUAUUCAGUAAUUUUUUUGGAAUAGUGUAUUGAUAAAUUUGUAAAAACUACAAUGAUGCAGGGGCACUUUUCAUGAUGAUUCUAUUAAGAUCAUUCUGUGCAACACUAUGAAAGAGUUUGCUGUAUAAAUAAUUGAAGUAAAGGCUUCAAAUACUUGAAUCGACCUAGCAUUGGUUGCUUUCCUAGUUUUAGAGGAAAUGAUGGUUUGGAAAAUAAAUACCUCACGAACAGCAUAAUUAUUCCCAAUUUUUGAGGACGUUACUCUUGUAUUUUCUAUUAAUUUGGUCUUAUCUUCUCUAUUUUUUUAUCUCAAUUAGUUCAGCAGCAUCUAUUUUCCCCACCGGAACAUGGUGUUGUACUGAACUCUGGUUCAUACAUGGACUCUACUAGUAGAGUAUUGGUCACGCGGGUGGCAGCAGCAGCACAUUCGCAAAGCAACGAAAAAGUUCUCUGAACGCCGCCAGCCGGUCACCGGUCACCGAUGGUGCAUGUGGCCCUCUUUGUGUGCUUGAUCCAUGCUGCCACUCCACUACCAGUCUACCGCACCCAGCCCAUAUAUAGCAACUCGUCAAUUUGGCUCCGGCAUCCAUUCUCUCCAACUCCAGCCGAGCAUUUCCUCCCUUGGGGGCAGGCUCACCCUCACCCAUGCACCGGAUGGGUGUCUUCUUCCUCUAAUACCCUCCCUCCCAGCGAAUCAUAUCGCCGUCCACCGUCCUUAUAUGAUCCGUCUCCCACGGUGAUGUUUACACGAGAGGAAUUCUAAUCCGCCCGUGAUCGUUGUCACCUAAACGCAAUAUUAUUCUCCGUCCAAGCGCCAGAACCAGAACCGAGACCCCCUUUUUAAGCCAGGGAGCUUCGGCUCCCGAGUUUCCCCAAACACUUCAACAGCUGCCCUCUUCAGCCAUGGAGACCUCGGCAGCCGUCGAAUCGUCGGCCGCCGUGGCCGCAUUCGAGGUAUCCAAGCGUCCGGACACGGGCAAGCUCGUGCUGAACAGCCCAAGCCCGCCGAGCCUGCGCGAGGAGCUCGUCGGCGUGGUCGGCAAGGCGUUCCGGCCACGGGCCUCCGGCGGUGCUGGCGGCCGGGCGCCGCCGUGCGCGUGGGCCCUCACGGCGCUGCAGUGCGUGUUCCCGGUGCUGCAGUGGGGAAGGAGCUACACCCUCAAGGACUUCAGGAGUGACGUCAUGGCCGGCCUCACUCUCGCCAGCCUUGGCAUCCCGCAGGUAGGUUCCGGUGGCUGCUCAUGUUACACACGCUUGCUCGUCAGUUCAGGCUUCAGUUUCAGCUGCCUCUUCAUAAUGCUCUUUGUUGUCUGCACACGAGUAUGCUUGGAUGCACUACAUCUUUAUUUGCGGUGACAACUGGCUGGUGUUUCUUGCACUAAACCUCGGACAGAAUCACGAGAUAAACAUCAGUAGUUACAUGGCAGCAACAACCAUAUAUAUGCUCCAAGGAUCAUAGCUUUUGUACAAUUCACGCUUGCUCAAUUCACAAGCUACUCUUUUUCGAAAAACAAUUCACAAGCUACCAUAUGUCACACAAUCACGAAGAUAAAACACUAGUAGUUACACACUUCAUAUGGCAGCAGCUUUCAUCAAAAACAAGGCAGCAGCCACCAUAUGCUCCAAAGAUCAUAGAUUUUGCCUUGAAAUUUUCAGAUGUGUAGAGUUGUUUUCUCGUCCUUAUCUGACAUGUGAUUCGUUCGGAUAUGAUAUUGUAGAGCAUUGGAUACGCCAAUCUUGCCAAACUGGACCCUCAGUACGGCCUUUGUAAGUAUCAGAAACCCUCUCCAUGACUGUGCACAACAAUUUAGCUAGCGCAAAAGCACACGCCAUGUUUCUAUCUCUCAUCCUUUUGUGUGUGUUUUCCUGAAAGACACGAGCGUUGUGCCACCUCUGAUCUACGCUGUCAUGGGGACGUCGAGGGAGAUCGCCAUCGGGCCCGUCGCCGUGGUCUCGCUGCUGCUGUCGUCAAUGAUCCAGAACGUCGUCGACCCGGCCGCCGACCCGGCGACCUACCGGUCGCUCGUCUUCACCGUGACUUUCCUCGCCGGGGUCUUCCAGGUCUCCUUCGGUCUGUUCAGGUCUGCUCAUAUUACCAAAACGUCUUUUACGCAGUUCACGUGCAAAUAUACUCUGCUGCCUUCUCCCAUGUUGGGGAGUGCCCUAUACAUGUGGUCUUUAAUUACCCAUGUCGGCUCCUCACGUCCCCAGGCUGGGAUUUCUCGUCGAUUUCCUCUCGCACGCUGCCAUCGUCGGGUUCAUGGCGGGUGCGGCCAUCGUGAUUGGGCUGCAGCAGCUGAAGGGCCUGCUUGGACUCAGCCAUUUCACCAACAGCACCGACAUCGUCUCGGUGAUCAAGGCUGUGUGCUCGGCGCUACAUGACCCCGUGAGUUGUCUCUCUCCCUGUCCCUGUCGCCAAGGAAAGCACUGGCUUUAUUGUGCAGGAGCAUGUGCUCUUCCUCUCCCCACCCCACAAGGCCACAACAGACACACCGAUUAGUCACGGUCAUUACUUGGAAUGAUAUUCCACUUCACAAACUGUUUUGGAUAAAGAGCAUAACAUUGUGAAUAAUAUUCCACUUGCCUGCACAUGCUCCACUGUUUAGUGUUGGAGCCCACUGCUCCGACAACGAUAGCACGGGCCUUCAAGUCAACGCCUCCACCUGGUGCUUGGCUUUACUCAAUGUCCGCUUCUCAUGUGGCUCCUUUUGUCUGUGUUAUCCAAAUGCAGUGGCACCCAGGCAACUUCUUAAUCGGAUGCUCGUUCCUUAUAUUCAUCCUCACCACACGGUUCAUCGUAAGAUGACUCUUCAACCAUUGAUCUUUUUGACUGGCCGAUAAAUUGGACGGUAACUUACUAACCAACACAACAACAUGAAUUGUGCAAUGGAACCACAGGGGAGGAAGUACAAGAAGUUAUUCUGGCUGUCUGCGAUCUCGCCUUUGAUCUCAGUCAUUCUGUCCACUGCUGCGGUCUAUGCAACAAGAGCUGACAAGCAUGGCGUGAAGAUCAUUCAGAAGGUGCAUGCAGGCAUCAACCCUAGCUCAGCCAAGCAGAUACAUCUGAAUGGGCCACAUACUUCUGAAUGUGCCAAGAUUGCCAUCAUCUGUGCAGUCAUCGCACUUACGGUAAUUGACAUAUAUAGUAAGCAGUUCAUCUUGUGUUCAAUGGUGAAAUACGUAUGCAGUAUGCCUGAAAACAGAAGUAUGCAUUGCCUUUCUCAGGAAGCUAUUGCUGUUGGACGGUCAUUCGCUUCGGUAAGGGGGUACAAACUUGAUGGAAACAAGGAAAUGCUCGCCAUGGGAUUUUCAAACGUUGCUGGAUCUCUGUCCUCAUGCUAUGUUGCAACAGGUGAUCAUUAUUUUUGGUGCCUGCUGCAAUCUUUUUAAAAGAAGCAAAAUAUGUUGGUCAUUACGUCUGACAAAUGUUCUGCAGGUUCAUUCUCCCGAACAGCUGUGAACUUCAGCGCAGGCGCCAGGUCAACAAUGUCAAACAUCAUCAUGUCCAUCACCGUGUUUAUUACCUUAGAGUUGUUUAUGAAGUUCCUAUACUACACGCCCAUGGCGGUGCUCGCCUCCAUCAUUCUAUCAGCUCUUCCCGGACUGAUUGACAUCAAAGAAGCUUGCAACAUAUGGAAAGUUGAUAAGAUGGAUUUCGUCACAUGCCUUGGUGCAUUCGUUGGUGUUCUAUUUGGCUCGGUGGAGAUUGGCCUUGCUGUUGCAGUAAGAUGCUUGAGAUACCUCCAUUUGAAUCACAUUUUAGCAUUAUGUUUCAGCUUUUCUGACUUGCGGGGGACUGAUUAUAUUGCUGCAGAUUGCUAUUUCCUUCGCAAAGAUCAUCAUACAGUCGCUCCGACCUCAAGUAGAGGUUCUUGGCAGGCUACAAGGGACAAAUAUCUUCUGCAGUAUCAGGCAAUACCCUGUAGCUUGCCGAACUCCGACUGUACUGACGAUACGCAUCGACACAUCCUUCAUGUGUUUCAUCAAUGCCACUUUCAUCAAAGAAAGGUACUAGCAAUCUCAAAAUAUAAAUCUGAUAUAUCCAGUAGGGGAUCCCCCCCCCCCCCCUCUUGUUUCAUAAAAAAAAUAUAAUCUGGAUUUAUGAAAAUUCAGUAUAGAUUUGAAAUAAAUGUUGUUCAUUCAGGAUCAUAGAGUGGGUACGGGAAGAAGUGGAGGCAUCAGAUGGGAAGGCAAGAGAGAGGAUACAAGCAGUUGUCCUUGAUAUGUCAAGUAAGUGCUUAAAGCCUUGUGCAAUAUUUAUAGAAGGAAAUGCUUUGUUUUAUUAGUUAAUUGCUAGCUGUGAACUAAUGUAGCUGUCUUAUCUAAGCAUCGGCCUCCUAUCAAUUCUUAGGCAAACUCCGCCACUGUACUAUGGCAAACUGAUAUAACCAUGUUUUUUUUUUUUUGCAGGUGUGGUAAACAUCGACACUUCAGGACUCACAGCACUAGAAGAAUUACACAAGGAGUUGGUUUCUCUUGGCAUACAGGUGAAGUACUUAACUGCUUAGCAUACUUUUAAGUUUGGGGGCAAAAUAAGACUUAUAGUGCCAACUUGCCAGGUAAAAUGUUCUCAUGAUAUUUCUGAAACAAACUAUCUGCAGAUGGCUAUAUCCAGUCCAGGAUGGAAUGCAGUACAGAAGAUGAAAGUGUCGCGGGUCGUGGACAGAAUAGGAGAAGAUUGGAUCUUCCUGACAGUAGGUGAAGCAGUGGAGGCCUGUCUAACUGAACAAAAGGGCACGGCUCUCGAAUGUUGAGCGCGUGGUAAUCAGUAGAAAUAAUCCCAUAAGUGAUGCAGCUUUGCAUCCUAUGAAGGUGUUACUGCAAUGUUUGCGCACGAUGAGCAGGCAACUACCUAUAACUGAUUGGCUGUAGUGAGGAGUGGCUGUGGGGAACAAAAUCCUGCCGUGCUACAAAGGUUCAUGUUGCCAUGUUGGGCGUUCUAGUCAUGAACUCAUGCUACUUAACCAAGUGUGUCUCUGAUCCCUAAAAAAUAGUUCCGCACCUCCUAAAAAGAGCUACCGGAAAUUAAGAACAAGAAGCAACCACAAGCAUACAGCUGCGCCUCUAUAAGUCUGUAUAAAAAAACCUAAGGGGGAGAGAAGAAGAGCGAGGAGGAGCAGAGCGUACAGGCAAGGCGGUGUCGCCGCUGUGUCCGUCCGUCAGGUCGGACUCGGCGUAGGGUUCGGAGCUUCGGGAAGGAAGGGGAAGCCCUUCGUCUCUGCGAUGACGACGGCGUCGUGCCCCCGCCC
rnacentral:lncRNA from 1 species